rnacentral:rRNA from 1 species
GACGAACGCUGGCGGCGUGCCUAACACAUGCAAGUCGAACGGGGUUACGAGAGCUUGCUCUUGUGACUUAGUGGCGAACGGGUGAGUAACGCGUGAGGAACCUGCCUUUCAGUGGGGGACAACAGUUGGAAACGACUGCUAAUACCGCAUGAUACUAUCGGGCCGCAUGGUCUGGUAGUCAAAGAUUUAUUGCUGAAAGAUGGCCUCGCGUCUGAUUAGCUAAUUGGUGGGGUAACGGCCCACCAAGGCGACGAUCAGUAGCCGGACUGAGAGGUUGACCGGCCACAUUGGGACUGAGAAACGGUCCAGACUCCUACGGGAGGCAGCAGUGGGGAAUAUUGGGGCAAUGGGCGAAAGCCUGACCCAGCGACGCCGCGUGCGGGAAGAAGGCCUCGGUUGUAACG